rnacentral:rRNA from 1 species
CUGGCACUGGGAGAAGACGAAGGGGAGGCCCGAGGCGGUCUGCGGCGGGCGAGCCACUGCAGCGCGGAGGCGGCCGGGGAGGUGGAGAAGGUGAGGAGGAAGGAGGCGGUGUCGGGGGGCAGGGUGAGCGUGAGCGCUGUGCCCAGGGAGAAGGGGAUGGGGGCGGGGGAGUCGGGGGAGGCGGUGGCGGCGGAGUGGACGGCGAGGGCGCGCGUGUCGAGGAGCAGGUCCCCGGUGUGCGGCGCGGAGAGGGUGACGAGCGCGGAGGCGUGGAUGGUGGAGGCGGCGAAGUCGAGGUAG